rnacentral:rRNA from 1 species
GGCGUCCGAGUUGUAAUUUGUAGAGGAUGCUAUUAGGUUGCCACCGGUCUAAGUUCCUUGGAACAGGACGUCACAGAGGGUGAGAAUCCCGUAUGUGACCGGCCAGGCGCCUUCUGUAUAGCUCCUUCGACGAGUCGGGUUGUUUGGGAAUGCAGCCCUAAAUGGGAGGUAAAUUUCUUCUAAAGCUAAAUACCGGCCAGAGACCGAUAGCGCACAAGUAGAGUGAUCGAAAGAUGAAAAGCACUUUGGAAAGAGAGUUAAAAAGCACGUGAAAUUGUUGAAAGGGAAGCGCUUGCAAUCAGUCUCGACGGCGGCUGUUCGGCCUCUCUUCUGAGUGGUUUAUUCAGUCGCCGCCGGGCCAGCAUCAGUUUUGGCGGUCGGAUAAAGGCGUGGGGAAUGUAGCUCCUCCGGGAGUGUUAUAGCCCCGCGUGCAAUACGGCCCGCCGGGACUGAGGUCCGCGCUUCGGCUAGGAUGCUGGCGAAAUGGUUGUAAGCGGCCCGUCUUGAAACACGGACCAAGGAGUCUAACAUCUACGCGAGUGUUUGGGUGUCAAACCCGUGCGCGCAAUGAAAGUGAACGGAGGUGGGAACCGCAAGGUGCACCAUCGACCGAUCCUGAUGUCUUCGGAUGGAUUUGAGUAAGAGCGUAGCUGUUGGGACCCGAAAGAUGGUGAACUAUGCCUGAAUAGGGUGAAGCCAGAGGAAACUCUGGUGGAGGCUCGCAGCGGUUCUGACG